rnacentral:rRNA from 1 species
UACGAAGGGUGCAAACGUUGCUCGGAAUCAUUGGGCGUAAAGCGCACGUAGGCGGCUUCAAAAGUCGGAUGUGAAAUCCCUCGGCUCAACCGAGGACGUGCAUCCGAAACUGUGAGGCUUGAGUACUGAAGAGGAUCGCGGAAUUCCCGGUGUAGAGGUGAAAUUCGUAGAUAUCGGGAGGAACACCAAUGGCGAAGGCAGCUCGCUGGGACGGUACUGACGCUGAGGCGCGAAAGCGUGGGGAGCAAACAGG